UACGGAGGGGGCUAGCGUUGUUCGGAAUUACUGGGCGUAAAGCGCGCUUAGGCGGCUUUGUAAGUUAGAGGUGAAAGCCCGGAGCUCAACUCCGGAAUAGCCUUUAAGACUGCAUCGCUAGAACGUUGGAGAGGUAAGUGGAAUUCCGAGUGUAGAGGUGAAAUUCGUAGAUAUUCGGAAGAACACCAGUGGCGAAGGCGACUUACUGGACAACUGUUGACGCUGAGGUGCGAAAGCGUGGGGAGCAAACAGG
rnacentral:rRNA from 1 species